rnacentral:misc_RNA from 1 species
AUCAAGAAGUCAUCAAGUCAUCGCAACCUCCUUCAAAGACUGCUGAGACAAUGAUUCCUCCAAAGGCAGAACCUCCUCCGCAUGUGAUUGAGACAAAACUUCUUCCAAAAGAUCCUCCUGAGGCUAGAAAAUCUUCUCCAGAUGUGCAUACAAUAUCUAAGGGUCUUCAAACAGAACUUUCCAACAGGACUAGAACUCAGAGAUCUCCUUCGAGCAGUGAAAUCUCCAUGUCAAACCAAGCACCUAAUCCUGAAGUUGUGCAGAAACAAAAGGAAACAUUAGAAGGGUACUUUAAUAUGCCUUUGGAGGCUAUACAGCAAGCUAAUGCCUAUGGCAGCAUUGAGGGAAUUAUCAAUGCACUCAUUCAAAAUAGUAAUGAUUUGCGUGAGAAGACAAUUCUUGAAGAUCUUCUCUCUCGCUUGGCAGAAUUUAAAGAGAGUAUUCCUGUGGCUACAACCAUUACAGAAGCUGCUCAAGCUCGCAGAACAUCUCUUUCGGGGAAGACCACUGAUCUAGAUGCAAGAUUGGCACAAAGACAAAAGAAACUAAGUUUCUUGGAGACUGAAUUCUCAAGACUUUCAAAAGAAGAAGAAAAACUAGAGGCUCAAAUUCAACUCUUAAUUACCCAGAAGGAGAAAAUUCUUGCUAACAAGAAGCAUGUUUUAGCUGACUUAGAGAAAAACAAUGAAGACGCUACAAAAGAUUUAGAAGAAUGGCGAAAUCUGGAAAGUGAAAUCAAGCAGGUGAAUGUCGAUUGGCUUGGAGCAAAAGAGAAACUAGCAUUAGCUAAUGUCCGUUGGAAACUCUUCAAGGAGGAUUUGGGUCUUGGAAAGCUUAACAUUUCGUAAUCACUUUUAUGUUGUUCAUUCGUUGGAUUUCUUAUAUUAUAUUAAUGGUCUCAUAAUUCAUCGCAAUUUGGCCGUGUAAUUAAGUGUACUUUAAUUUUAUUUUAAUUUUACUAUAGUCGUCUUGAUGAAUCUAAGUGAAAUUCCUCUGCUUAUACUCUCA